UGGGGAAUAUUGCACAAUGGGGGAAACCCUGAUGCAGCGACGCCGCGUGAGCGAAGAAGGUUUUCGAAUCGUAAAGCUCUGUCCUAUGGGAAGAUAAUGACGGUACCAUAGGAGGAAGCCCCGGCUAACUACGUGCCAGCAGCCGCGGUAAUACGUAAGGGGCAAGCGUUGUCCGGAAUCACUGGGCGUAAAGGGUUCGCAGGCGGAAAUGCAAGUCAGUUGUGAAAGGCAGAGGCUCAACCUCUGUAAGCAAUUGAAACUGUAUUUCUUGAGAGGUGGAGAGGCGAGUGGAAUUCCUAGUGUAGCGGUGAAAUGCGUAGAUAUUAGGAAGAAUACCGGUGGCGAAGGCGACUUGCUGGACACAAACUGACGCUGAGGAACGAAAGCGUGGGUAGCAAACAGG
rnacentral:rRNA from 1 species